UCCUGCCAAUUUGAUAGCAGGUAACCUUGUGAAGAUGCUUGUUAAGCUGCAAGGAGUUAAGGUAUAUCAAUUCAGUUAUUGUAAGGAUACUUUCAAUAGGUGGAUUUAUUGUAGUAGUAAUAUUGCGAUAGAAGUGAGAAACUCACAACGAUAACUUAACGUGCUUAUUAUAUACGCUCAUAAAAACAUAAUUCUCUUGGUGGUAAUAAUAGACGCUCUCUGUGAGAGAAUAAUCUUAUAUGUUAGAUGUAGGGAUAUAUUUAACCUCUAUAAGAAAAUCCAAAUAAUGCCAUUGGUCGUGAACUUGAGAAAUCAAGGUAUAACAAGAGUUUAUAGUACGAGUAGCCAAAGACUAGAAUCAAUUCUUGAAUAUAUCUAAAGGGUAGAUAUGAUUAAAUAAACUAAUUCUGAAAAACUGGUGAAAGUUAGAGGUAGUCAAUCCUCUUCAAGUAUUAGUGUUUCGUCGCUAUGUAAAAUAUAGGGCAAGAAGCAUUAAGGUCGCUCCUUAAUGCUCAGACUUGUCUUCUUGGUGGUUGAAUAUAUGUGAAGUAUGUAAUCGGUAAGGUGAAGACCUACCUACUAUUCUAUUUAAUU
rnacentral:sRNA from 12 species